UACGACCACAUCACGUUGAAACAUCGGUUCCCAUAAGAUCACCAAAGUUAAGCAACAUUGGGCCAGGUCAGUACCAAGAUGGGUGGCCGUUUGAGAAUACCAGUUGCUA